rnacentral:rRNA from 1 species
UACGUAGGGGGCUAGCGUUGUCCGGAAUCAUUGGGCGUAAAGCGCGUGUAGGCGGUCCGGUAAGUCCGCUGUGAAAGUCGGGGGCUCAACCCUCGAAUGCCGGUGGAUACUGUCGGGCUAGAGUGCGGAAGAGGCGAGUGGAAGUUCCUGGUGUAGCGGUGAAAUGACGCAGAUAUCAGGAGGAACACCGGUGGCGAAGGCGGUUCUCUGGGCAUUACCUGACGCUGAGGAGCGAAAGUGUGGGGAGCGAACAGG